rnacentral:rRNA from 1 species
GACGAACGCUGGCGGCGUGCUUAACACAUGCAAGUCGAGCGGAAAGGCCCUUCGGGGUACUCGAGCGGCGAACGGGUGAGUAACACGUGAGUAAUCUGCCCUUCACUCUGGGAUAGCCACCGGAAACGGCGAUUAAUACCGGAUACGACCACUCCCGGCAUCGGGUGGUGGUGGAAACUUUUUUGGGUGGGGGAUGUGCUCGCGGCCUAUCAGCUUGUUGGUGGGGUAAUGGCCUACCAAGGCUUCGACGGGUAGCCGGCCUGAGAGGGUGACCGGCCACACUGGGACUGAGACACGGCCCAGACUCCUACGGGAGGCAGCAGUGGGGAAUAUUGGACAAUGGGCGGAAGCCUGAUCCAGCAACGCCGCGUGAGGGAUGACGGCCUUCGGGUUGUAAACCUCUUUCAGCACCGACGAAGCGCAAGUGACGGUAGGUGCAGAAGAAGGACCGGCCAACUACGUGCCAGCAGCCGCUGUAACAC